UAGAUGCUCCCUCCGUCCGGAAAUACUUGUCAUUAAAAUGAUAAAAGGGGAUGUAUCUAGACGUAUUUUAGUUCUAGAUACAUCUCUUUUUAUCUAUUUUGAUGACAAGUAUUUUUGGACGGAGGGAGUAUCAG
rfam:Triticum aestivum genome assembly, contig: Triticum_aestivum_CS42_TGACv1_scaffold_293207_4AL